GGUUGGCCCGCAACAUCUGGACUGAGACACUGCCCGGACCUCCACGGAGGGCUGCAGUAACGAAUAUUGUGCAAUGGGCGAAAGCCUGACACAGCGACGCCGCGUGUAGGAGGAAGUCCUUCGGGAUGUAAACUACUGUCAGGGUAAAGAAAGUCUGUUUCGGCAGAUUGAUCUACCCCAGAGGAAGUCACGGCUAACUUCGUGCCAGCAGCCGCGGUAAGACGAAGGUGGCAAGCGUUGUUCGGUAUUACUGGGCUUAAAGCGUGUGUAGGCGGAUAAAUAAGCGUUUUGUGAAAUCCCUCGGCUUAACCGAGGAAUUGCUUGACGAACUGUUUAUCUUGAGGCAAGUAGGGGUGCACGGAACUCUUGGUGGAGCGGUGGAAUCGUAGAUAUCAAGAGGAACGCCAGUGGUGAAGACGGUGCACUGGGCUUGUUCUGACGCUGAGACACGAAAGCGUGGGGAGCAAACAGGAUUAGAUACCCUGGUAGUCCACGCUGUAAACGAUGCCUACUAGGUCGUGGUGGUUCUGACACUCUCACGGCCGGAGCAAAAGUUUUAAGUAGGCCGCCUGGGGAGUACGGUCGCAAGGCUAAAACUCAAAGGAAUUGACGGGGGCUCACACAAGCGGUGGAGCAUGUGGAUUAAUUCGAAGCAACGCGCAGAACCUUACCUGGGUUUGACAUGGUUGGAUGCCCUCUUGGAAACAGGAGUAAGCUGCCCUUCGGGGUGAAACUUUCACAGGUGCUGCAUGGCUGUCGUCAGCUCGUGUCGUGAGAUGUUGGGUUAAGUCCUUUAACGAGCGAAACCCUUACCGUUAGUUGCCAGCGCGUUAUGGCGGGGACUCUAGCGGGACUGCCGGUGUUAAGCCGGAGGAAGGCGGGGACGACGUCAAGUCAUCAUGGCCCUUAUGCCCAGGGCUUCACACGUGCUACAAUGGUCGGUACAGAGCGACGCAAGACCGCGAGGUGGAGCAAAUCGCAAAAAGCCGGCCCCAGUUCGGAUUGCAGGCUGGCAACUCGCCUGCAUGAAGUUGGAAUCGCUAGUAAUCGCGUGUCAGCUAUAACGCGGUGAAUGAGUUCCUGAGCCUUGUACACACCGCCCGUCAAGUGAUGGGAGUUGGGAGUACCCGAAGUCGGAUUGCUAACCAGCAAUGGAAGCGUCUGCCGACGGUAAGCCCGAUGACUGGCACUAAGUCGGAACAAGGUA
rnacentral:rRNA from 1 species